CUGGGGUUAAACAGGCAGAGCGCAAAUUUGGGGCAGCGCCCCCCUCCCCAGUGUCCAAACCCAGCUGGAAGCCAGAAGACUUGGGAGUCAUUGAAGCUGCCUGCAUUCCUCGGCGUGUGGCCUUGCAUCAGUCUGACCCCGCUUCCAUCGCCACCUCUCCCUCGGCCUCCUGGACACUCCGAUGAGGACCCCGUGACCAUAUCAAGCCCACCCACGUAACCCAAGAUAGUCUCCGUCUCUCAAGAUCCUUCACUUAAUCACGUCUGCAAAUUCCUCUUUGCCACGUAAGGAAACACAGUCACAGUUCUGAGAAGCAGGACGUGGACAUCUAGGAGAGCCAUCAUUCAGCCAGCAGAGGCCCCACGAGUUUUCCAGUUUGAGCUACCUGGAAACCUUUGGCUACCUUUAUAUAGUAUUUUUUCCUGGUUACUCAUUGCCUCUGUUUUUAAAUCACAAAAUACUUGAUGUGAGAGUCCAGGAGGGGCUGGAAGUGCGGGUGGGUGGCUCUGGAGGGACUCAGGACCUUGGAGCCAGGCAGAGGGGCUGGCUCUUGCCACAUCCACGAGGGCUCUGUGACAGGUGGGCUGAGCUGGAUCACGGCUGCGAACCUUGGUUUCACUUUAGCAUCACUGGAGGGGUUUUGCCAGCAGCCCUGCUGCCCAGGCCUCUGUGAUCGCCUUGGGACCCCAAGUCAACGGACACCAGGAUUGAUAACCACGGGGCAGAAGAGGCUCCAGGAGGGAAUGCAGGGAAGCAGCUCAGAAGCCAGGAGCGGAGAUGGAGGAAUAAAAAGUGGGGCAGACCCAGAAGGGUUUGUUUAUUGCGGAAGACAAAGUCUGCAGAAUCAAAAUCUGCAGAACGGCUGAGAACAAGAGCCCAGUGUCACCACAGUCUGUCGACACAUCCAGGGCAGAGGCCUUAGCCGCAGUGAGUGUAGACUGAGUCUCAGAAGAGCUCCCUAGUGGGUACAGAGCGAGGUCAGAACCCACUCCUCUGUCUCUUCCCCAGUCCGCCUUUGCUCUUCCCGGUAGAUAACAGCUAGGAAACAAGGGCAACAGAAGCCUGGGAGAAGGCCUGCUCCUGGGACCGGAGGACCAGCAGGCCACCUGCACCGGGACCCACGUAGACUUGGAAUUGCCUGCAGCAACAUCAAACAUCUGCUGAUGGAGCCAGCACAGUGGUGAGCGCCUGUGGUCCCAGGUACUCGGGAGGCUGAGGCAGGAGGAUCCCUUGAGCCCAGGAGUUGGAGUCUAGCUUGGGCAACAUAGUGAGACCCCACCUCUGAAACAAAUGGAUUAAAAACAAGCUGACAGAGGCUGAGCUGUGAUAUCAGCUGAGGAGAUGAGCUCCCAGGCAGGUUAGAUUCAACCAAACUCCAGAUUCAGCCAAACUCCCACUGAUGUAUCUGAUUGGGGCAGCCCCGGGCAAUGGAAAGAGAUGUGGUUUCGGAGACUGGUUCCCAAAGUUGUAGCCAAGAGACCCUGGGGAACAGCACAUACCCUCUGCCUCACUUUCCUCAUCUGUGAAGAGUGGACAAUGCCCAGUGUGUGUGUCAUUGGCAAGCCACGGAGUGCUACAUAGAGGGACACUGGGAUGCUCAAACCAUGAGCACAAGGGCUGCAGGACCCACAAAGCUUAUGCACUGAAAUCACCAAGACAAAGUCCUUCACACUCUGUAAACAGGAAUGUGUUGCAAUGAAGGGGUUUCUAACCAACUCUCAUCUAGAGCAGAACUUCUCAAACUAUCUGCAGGUAAGAUUUAAAAAAAUAUUUUUUAAAAGCUGUAAUUCAUUGUGGACUGAUAUUUUUAUAAAAUAAAAUUACUAGAAAAAUACAACAAAAAAGAUUCAGACGAAAUGACUCAUCACAUUGCCAUCAGUGAGGAUGUGCUUCCUCGGUUGCUGUACUCGUCUCGCUGAGGAUUGGUGACGAGCAGUGAGCCAGCUCGGGUGCCCAGGUCACACCUUGGGACUGAUCCAGCCUCUCCCCACUCAAGGUGGACCAGCUGCAUCAGCCCUACCCAGGACUUCCCAGAAUCUGCUUUUUAAUAAGAUGCCCACGUGAUUCGCGUCCACGUGUAAGGUUGUGGUGACACCCGCGGCAGCCGGGACUCGGGAAAGUUUUGUAGAAUGAAUUAACCAAAACCUCUGCCUGCAACCUCAAUUUCCGAUGACACCAGAGCUGAUGACACGAACCUUCUUCCAGAUGAGCAGGACCAGCUAUGUCAUUUGCAGAACCCGGUGCAAAAUGAAAAUGUGGGGGCCCUUAAAAAAAUAAAAAGCCAUUCAGAAUUUCUAAGAUGGUGACAGCCAAGUGGGCCCCCUUCUGACAUGUGACUGUACGGGUCCCCACACACGAAGCUGGUGAGGUACGGCUGGGUCCUUCUGGACUCAUGCAUGCUAGCCGAGUUAUGAGACUUCUGCUGUUUUGUUCACUAUCAACCAUUAUAAUUAAAAAGCUCUAACCCCUCAUCUUUUUGACCUUUAUUUUUUUCUCAAUGUGCAAAUAGAAAUGGUUUCAAAUGGCUGUUCUCCCUGUGUAUAUAAUUCUUUCAAAAAAUACAAAUAUGCAUAUGUCUAUUAAAAUGUGAAUGGAAGCUCUCUAUAGGGAAAGACAAUUUGUGCUCAUUUAUUUUAUUGACAGUGUACAGAUUUUGAUAUAUUGCAUUACAAUACUGACUGCUAGAUUUCU